ACCGGUGUAACAUCAAUUUUCACUGAUUCCACAUUUACGACUGUCACAGCGACACAAGGCACAAAUUCCGCGGCACUCACAGCAGGCUUGGUUGUUGGGUUAGGAGGGGCGAUUCUGCUGGCUGUCAUGGUUUUGGUUGUUGUUGUUCGAAAACGUAAAAGAAAGAGUGGCGAUGGCACUGGUAAGACCAUUAAGAAGGCCUUCUGUGGAACGACAAAUGACCAGCGAACGCUGCUUACAGUAAUGUUUCCGUGUCGGAUUCCACGGGUCAAGAUAAUGCAGCUUGCUCAACAGCUAUCGUGCAGACCGACGACUACGAAGAAGUGGAUUUGGACAGAAAUUCCACAUUAAACAACGGUGUGGAUGGUGACGCCGCCAUGGUAACCAGUAAAAAUGAUGGUACAGCAUGGGCAAUGCAAGGUAGCCCACAGAAUGCGGAAUACACCUUCACCGAACGAGUAUCACAUUCUGUGUGAAAUGAAAAACGCCAAUGGGAAUGAAUGUAGUAUUCAGCCCGAAAUGAACGGAAACGAAAAUACCAAGGGCCUUUCAGGAAAAGGAGGAUUUAGUAGAACAGAACGAAUACCACAUUCUGUGUGAUCCGAAAAACGCUAAUGGGAAUGAAUGUAGUAUUCAGCCCGAAAUGAACGGAAACGAAAAUACCAAGGCCUUUCAGGAAAAGGAGGAUUCAGUAGAACAGAACGAAUACCACAUUCUGUGUGAUCCGAAAAACGCUAAUGGGAAUGAAUGUAGUAUUCAGCCCGAAAUGAACGGAAACGAAGAUACCAAGGCCUUUCAGGAAAAGGAGGAUUCAGUAGAACAGAACGAAUACCACAUUCUGUGUGAUCCGAAAAACGCUAAUGGGAAUGAAUGUAGUAUUCAGCCCGAAAUGAACGGAAACGAAAAUACCAAGGCCUUUCAGGAAAAGGAGGAUUCAGUAGAACAGAACGCAUACC